AAAAAAAAAAAGAUUAGGGAUUAAUGUAAGCUCUCCCUGAAAUACCUGCCUUAGUUGAGAAAUGAAUAUGAAGAUCACUAUAAAUAAAAGAUAAAAGAUGCUAUGCCUUUUGGAGUAAAAUAUGAGGCCAGUCACAGUGUGAUGUAUCAAGUUUAACCAAAUUAACCUCCUGGGAUAUACAGGGGUUGGUUUUGGUGCAUUUGAAAAAUGAACUGAUAUUAAAAAAUAAGCUUAUAUAUGAAAGGAGUCAUCCAGGGGCUCUAAAAGGAGAGUUCAGGUUUUUUUAGGUAGUAUCUUUUAGACACCUGCAUGAGAUUUGGAAAAUGCUUUCCCCUGGGCGGCAGAACGCAGAGCAAUCAUUUAGCAUUCUGUGCUGUUGCACCAACUUAUCUUAUUGGUUGAUGUGGUAGCUAGAAGCUAUGUUUAGGGGAUGGAUUAUUUUUUGCAUUUCAAUCUACAAGCUUCCCUCAGAAAAUACGCUUUCCAUUAGGAUGUACACAAAUCAUCUUUCUAAUAUACCAUUCAUUAGAUUAAUGUUAGUAUUAGACCUUCAUCGAACAUAUAUGUGUCUUGGGCAUUUUUCCAGAAAUGCACUAUGUAACACAUGGAUUUCCAAUUUAUAAUUGCAAAGGUUUCAAGACCUGAGCUUCAGAGGAGACUUUGGAAACAGCUUAGCUGCAAUGAAUUUUUCACUCCCAUGCCUAACAAGUCUUGCUGAAUUGUGUGUCUUUUCCAGAAAAUGGGAUCAAAAUUAAAAUGAAAUCUUGGUCUACUUGAAGUGAUUAUUUUGAUCUGUUGAUAUUUUUUCAGAAUUUUUCUCUAUGUCUGUUGCAUAUAUAUUCCUUUCUCUGCAUGUUUUGACCUUCUCUGUAACCCUGAAAGAAUAUAGAUGGGUUGGGUGACUCAUGUUCACUUUUGGAGUAGUGAGCUGAAUUAUUUAGCAUAGGCAAUGGGGGAAUGUGGAGGAGUAAGCAGGGAGAAAUAAUUUUAAAUUAUAUCUUUAGCUGGAGAAAAAUUGGCCUACCUACACAAGAGUAAAUAUGGCAUAUGCAGUGAUUCAGAUACUCAAAGAUGUCUGUUUUAGCAAUAAAGACCAGAUCUGGACCCAGUCCCUGGCAGAGUCAAACAUACACCUGCAUGUUCACUAUAUCAAAAGAACCACAGAAGUGUGUUGAAAACUGCUUAAGUGAGAUACAUAAACACAACUACAGAUGAAGGGACAGAAAUUCAAGGCUAUAAGUGCUGGACUGUUGGCAAAGCAGUCAGCAGGAUAAGCUCCAGCCAGUUUUCAAUUGUGAGACACUAGGUUCAAAUUGCAGACAUGCUAGAAUGUUUGGUCUUCCUGCCCAGUAUUUUAGGGAGAAUAUUAAAACCCUCCGUUAAAUGCUUGCGAGUGAUUGCCAGCAUAAAGCUUUUGAGAACAAUGGCUCUGAUCUUUAAUAGGGCUGUGUCUUUGUCAAGUCUCAACUCAGAAUUUCCAAUGUAAUUUUCAAGUCAAGUAUUUUUUUUUGAAUUAUAUAUAUAUAAAAAUCUAUAUAUACACACACACAUAUAUAUACACAGAUACAACACACACACACUCAUUGCAAGAAUAUAUCCAUGUAGAGGUGAAGUUAGGGACCAGCUGGUGUAAAUUUGUGUGGUUAUCUCUUGACCUAAAUUUUUAGCUUUCUUUAUCCCUUCAUUGUAGUUAAGCUUGGCCUUGCCUCAGGGCCUUUGUAUUGUUUCCAUUUUAUAGAAACAUUAUUUCCAGAAAAUUGUCCAUAAAUGACUUCUUUCUCUUUGGCUCUCACCUCUUAAAGAUAUGUACAAAUAAAUAUAAUCUUUGGUGUAUCUUUGUAUGUAGAUUAACUUUUUCCCAAAGAAUGCAAGCCCCACAGUGGUAGAGGUUACCUUUCUUACCCUUUGUUCUGUGUCUUGGAACAGUGUCUGGCAUGUAGUAGUCAUUCGAGGUUUGUUGAAUGAGUGUGUAAAGAACAAGUGAGUAGAUGAACAGAUUUGGAGUUUUUUAAGGUCACUCUUAAUGAUGACUGGGGUUAGUGUCUAAAUUAAAAUUGUAAGUGAUGAAGUUGAGUCUCACAGUGAGGCACAACUCCUCUCUCUGCAGCAUCCCUGACAGAUGAUCAACUAUUUUGUGCUUCAGUAACUUGAUAUGAGAGGCUAACCAGAGAGUCCUCUCAGCAGUCUUCCAACAGAUCACAGCCUUCCAGAGGACUUUGCUCCCCAUUAUUCAGCUCUAAUUAGAAGAAAAGUGUUUGAUUCACCCAGAAUCAUCUUCUCUCAGUCUCCUUGUUCUAGUUCCUAGAAAACAGGCUGGACAGAAUUUCCUCGAAAUUACAUCCUUUGGGUUUGCAUUCCUGCUUGUACCAGAAUUAGCACAAUGCUGUAGUGAAAUUCACUUUGACUGUCUGCCACUUAUUGCUACAUUCCUUGUUAGUGUUUAGAAAUAAUUUUCUUAAUGUUCUACAUUAUAAUUGAUGGAGUAUGGAAAUAAAAGAGAUCCCAGGGUUAUGUCAGAAGCAAUCAGACAGAUAUUUUAACUUUCCUCUUAAUGUAUUCAGUGCUGAUGCUGUGAGGAAUUGAGCAGCAUAGUCACAGCAUUAUUGCCAUUGUUGAAAAAAAUGUAUUUAUGGUGACAUAUAUGGUAACUUUGAAAGUGUUACCUGAUGGCGGAAGGUGUCAACUACAUCAUAAAGUUAUGAGCAUUUUUCAGAAGGUUAUGAUACAAAACACUUCUCCCUUUUCUUUAUUCUUCCUUUUUUUUUUUUUUUUUUUUGGUAUGUUCAUAAAGAGUAUAAUUCAUAUUCCCAAAAUAAUGAUGGCUUAAUUGACACUCUUUUGGGUCCUAAAGGACCCACAUCAAUGGAUGAUAGUGUAGAGUUUCUCAGAGCCUGGAUGUUUGGGUCCCAUUGAAAGCCCCAUGGAUUCAUUUUUUUUUUUUUUUUCAAAUCUGUUCACCAGUGUGUAUGAAUGGGAGAAAACCAAAGCCCUGGUUUGUGGAUCAAGGUGAGCCAAAUCCCUUUUACUUUUGUUGUGACAAACAGGUACAGAGGUUAAAAUACCUGAAAACAAAUCAUAGGGUUUGAUAGAAAACUUAAGUGGAACUAGAGAUAUAAAACAAAAAGAAAAGCAAAUGAGCGUUAUUGGGAAAUCAUUUCAAGCAAGGAUAGCUAACAGAAUAGUAAUAAUAGUAACAACAAUAGUAAGCUCAAUUUUACAAGACUUAGAGUGGCACAGAGUUCUAAGCACUCUCCAUGUGUUAACUUCAUGCCACAACUCCUUAAAAUGCGUGAGGUUGUUAACUCCUUGUUUUUCAAAUGAGAAAGUUAAAUGAGGACACAAAGAAGUUCUGAAGUCCUAUCACUCAAUGGUGGAGCUGGGAAAAAGAUCCAGGCAAAUUAAUUUCAGAGUCAGUGCUCUUAACCAGUAGGUUAUGUAGCAUAGGUAAUAUUUGUACAUUGGUAAUCACUUCACAAAUAAUAUUUUUUACUCCCAGAGUACACAGGGAAUACCCAGGGAAAUUGGCAUUAUAAAUUAUGUUGAUUUCUUUGCCAACAAACCGUUAACUUUCUGCAGUUCAGUAUCCUUCCCUAACUUCUUAAAAAUUCAAUCUACAGUCCAAAAAAUCAGGGCUAAAGAAAGUAAAUUUCUUGUAAAUCCAGGUCUAGAGAGCAACUAAAAAAUCAAGGCUCUUGUGAAUGUAAAAAAGAAAGCAAAACAAAGAGACAAGAACCUUUAACCCUAAGAUUAAGCUCAAUAUUCUCAGGUAAAGGAGCACUUAAUACUUGUCCAAAGAGUCAUGGCUCUUCAGAAGCCAAGGAGUCUCCCUUUAAUCACUGAUUCACUGUAUACUCCUAGCAGGUAUGUCCUUCUUUGAGCCUCGAAAUGUUUCCUCAGUAAAAUGAAGGAAUUGGUACAAGGUUAGUUCUCACAACCCAGCUCUUACAUUCUGUGCACCUGUGAGUCUAGGUAAGUGCUGAAUGUCUUUAACAUGACAGGUUAUGUUUCUUUUCUAACCACUUCUCUUUUGAUUUAAAUGUAACUUCUAAUACAUAGUAGAAUAGUAGAGAAGGAAAAAUAAGUAGCACAAAGUAACUGUCACACUAGCUUUCCAUUCUCAUUUCACUGCCAAUUCAGCCAAAAGCCUUCUGUAGAAUUCUGAUGCAGAUCAUGAAAACACACUAUAAGUGUUCCAGAGGCUUUCCCGUAUUUGGUUGUCCUGUGAUUUCCAUUGGCAGAACUAUCUUAGACUAUCAUCUGCAAAUCCAUCAAAAAGAAAUUAAGUAAUAGGAAUUCAUAUCAAUGCUGUUGGAGGAAAAAAAAAUCAUCCUUGAACUUGUCUUACUGUGUGAACCUUCAGACAUACACAAAAUCAACAACAAAGCUUAAACUUCAAAGGCAACAUAUUCUCAUGAAUAGAAGGGAGACUAUAACACAUAAUGCUAACUUUAUGUAUACACACACAUGUAUACAUAUGGUCCAAAGUGUAUUCUGAGAUAGUAAUUGGAUUAAAAUUGGGGCUAAAAGCAUAUUUUUUUUCUCAUAGAGAAUAUUAUUCUUUAAGACACCUAGAGACGUACAUAUCUGUCCUGUUGGCCUCUCACAUGCUCAGUUGACUCUGUCAUUAUCAAUUCAUUUACCCAUGUAUUUAUUUCUAGGAUUAGUGAUUUUUGAAUAGGUGUUCACAUCUUUAGAAGUACCUGUGACCAAAUCUCUCUUUCCCAUUGUCACUCAAGCUAGAUCAUAUCACUAAGGCUGGACAUCCUGGGCCUAUUCUGCCCAGAACCAGUCUCUGGUCUGGGAACAAGAUGGUCAGAAAUGUUAGGUAGCCCAGUAGUUCUACUUUUUGGUCAUAUAGUUUAGACUAACUCAUCUUGUUUAAUGUGAAACAAAGAAGAAAAACAUGUUUUAAAAUAUGAUCAAGGAACCAAAAUCAACUAAUUCAGAAAUGUUUCUAACUUGGCAGUGGCUUUAAUUCUGUCAUAGCCAGAGAAAGUUUAUUGUCUCAGAAGGUGACAGCCUUGUAUUUGCGUGGAAUAAAAAAGAAGAUAUGAGUUCCUCUCAUGGCUCAGUGAUUAAUGAAUCUGACCUGGAACCAUGAGGUUGCAGGUUCGAUCCCUGGCAUCGCUCAGUGGGUUAAAGAUCUGGUGUUGCUGUGAGCUGUGGUGUAGGUCGCAGACACAGCUUGGAUCCCACAUUGCUGUGGCUGUGGCAUAGGCCAGUGGCUGCAGUUCCAAUUUGACCCUAGCCUGGAACCUUCAUAUGCCAUGGGAGCAGCCAAAGAAAUGGCAAAAAU
rnacentral:lncRNA from 1 species